rnacentral:rRNA from 1 species
AUUGAACGCUGGCGGCAUGCCUUACACAUGCAAGUCGAACGGUAACAGGUCUUCGGAUGCUGACGAGUGGCGAACGGGUGAGUAAUACAUCGGAACGUGCCCGAUCGUGGGGGAUAACGAGGCGAAAGCUUUGCUAAUACCGCAUACGAUCUACGGAUGAAAGCGGGGGAUCUUCGGACCUCGCGCGGACGGAGCGGCCGAUGGCAGAUUAGGUAGUUGGUGGGAUAAAAGCUUACCAAGCCGACGAUCUGUAGCUGGUCUGAGAGGAUGAUCAGCCACACUGGGACUGAGACACGGCCCAGACUCCUACGGGAGGCAGCAGUGGGGAAUUUUGGACAAAGGGCGAAAGCCUGAUCCAGCCAUGCCGCGUGCAGGAUGAAGGCCUUCGGGUUGUAAACUGCUUUUGUACGGAACGAAAAGCCUCUUUCUAAUAAAGAGGGGUCAUGACGGUACCGGAAGAAUAAGCACCGGCUAACUACGUG